rnacentral:rRNA from 1 species
CAAUAGCGUAUAUUAAAGUUGUUGCAGUUAAAAAGCUCGUAGUUGGAUUUCUGGUAGGAGCGACCGUGCCGAACUUGAUUGUUCGAGUAUUGUGUUGUCUUCAGCCAUCCUCGUGGAGAACUUUUCUAACAUUAACUUGUUGGGAUUGGGACCCGCGUCGUUUACUGUGAAAAAAUUAGAGUGUUUAAAGCAGGCAUUAGCUUGAAUACAUUAGCAUGGAAUAAUAAGAUAGGACUUUGGUACUAUUUUGUUGGUUUGCAUACCAAAUUAAUGAUCAACAGGAACAGUUUGAGGAUAUUCGUAUGAACAUGUCAGAGGUGAAAUUCUUGGAUUUUGAUCAGACGAACUACUGCGAAGGCAUUUAUCAAGGAUGUUUUCAUUAA